ensembl:lncRNA
GAGAUGUUUUGUAAGGAGCGUGACACACUGCCCACGGGGAAAACAACGUCAAAGUUUUAUCUGGAACCCUAAUGGUUUAGCUAAAACACUUCUUCUGGGAGAGAACACAGGACUCAUGGAAGAUUGAGCCUGUGAAAACUGAGAAUUCUGUAACAGUUCAGAAGUUCAAAAUCCUUUAUACACGGGCUUGCUACACUGCUCUCACUUCUCUUCAGCGUGGCUGCUGUUCUUCACUUCUCCCUGAGCUAGACAUCCCAUCUUCCUAA